rnacentral:rRNA from 1 species
UACGUAGGGUGCAAGCGUUGUCCGGAUUUAUUGGGCGUAAAGAGCUCGUAGGCGGUCUGUCGCGUCGGAUGUGAAAACCCAGGGCUCAACCCUGGGCCUGCAUUCGAUACGGGCAGACUAGAGUACGGCAGGGGAGACUGGAAUUCCUGGUGUAGCGGUGAAAUGCGCAGAUAUCAGGAGGAACACCGGUGGCGAAGGCGGGUCUCUGGGCCGUAACUGACGCUGAGAAGCGAAAGCGUGGGGAGCGAACAGG